rnacentral:rRNA from 1 species
CCUACGGGAGGCAGCAGUGAGGAAUAUUGGUCAAUGGACGAGAGUCUGAACCAGCCAAGUAGCGUGAAGGAUGACUGUCCUAUGGGUUGUAAACUUCUUUUAUAUGGGAAUAAAAUGUUCCACGUGUGGGAUUUUGUAUGUACCAUAUGAAUAAGGAUCGGCUAACUCCGUGCCAGCAGCCGCGGUAAUACGGAGGAUCCGAGCGUUAUCCGGAUUUAUUGGGUUUAAAGGGAGCGUAGGUGGAUUGUUAAGUCAGUUGUGAAAGUUUGCGGCUCAACCGUAAAAUUGCAGUUGAAACUGGCAGUCUUGAGUACAGUAAAGGUGGGCGGAAUUCGUGGUGUAGCGGUGAAAUGCUUAGAUAUCACGAAGAACUCCGAUUGCGAAGGCAGUUCACUGGACUGCAACUGACACUGAGGCUCGAAAGUGUGGGUAUCAAACAGGAUUAGAUACCCGAGUAGUC